CUCAGGACCUGCCCGGCGGCCCACGCGUGGAUGGCCAUCCUCUCACUGUGUCCUCAUGUUGCUCUCUGUGGUCUCUAUGGUGACACUAAUUCUAUUCACAAAGGCUCCCCUUGUGAGCCAGUACCUCCAAGGCCCCGCCUCCUAAUAUCAUCACCGUGGGAGUUAGGACUCCAACAUGUGCGCUUGGGGGAUUGGAUGCUCAGUCUAGCUGAAGAGCUUUCUCUCAGUGUGCCCCAGGUGUGUGCCUGCCAGGAAUCUCGGAAUGUCCUGAGCCUCAGUUCUCGGUCGGUGGAAGGAGCCAGCAGCACCUCAGCUUCCAGGGCUGCUCUGGGAGAAUGUGUGAUUGACAGGAGCAGGGCACAGUUUAUCUGGAACAAAAUGAGAUGGACCAUUUUAUUGCAGCAAGUGAGAGGCAGAAGUGUUUCUAUCUUAGGAGACUUCCACCUUUGUCCCAGCAAUUUCAGUGGGGUUUACCGGCAGUGUUUGCUUCCCUCUAUCCUUUGGUCAAUCAGUGUGAAAGGACAGCCAACAUUUCAAAUAUUUUUAAAUUAAAAAUAGAUUACAAAAACACUUUCGGACUCUUUUUCCAGCUGUAAAAUUAAGCUCAUCUACCUAGAAACUCAGUAAAUGAAGUGCAUCCCUACAUAUUUGCUGAGGGAAAGAGUUCAACAGUCUUUCUUUCUGAGGGAAAGAGAAUUUUUUUCCAAAUUCUGG
rnacentral:lncRNA from 1 species